AAACGGCGCGGAUGGUUUUUCCGAGAAAAAUCGCAAGAAGAACCUCGAUAUCCUGAAUCUCGCACAAAAUCUGUGCGUAACGCAUUAGAAGAUGUACGUGUUUUGUGAACUGUGUCAUGAACAGCGCCAAUCGGGAGACGCUGAAGUAUUUAUAUCGUCCUGUUGCCACAUAUCCUGUCGAAAAUGCUGCACCUCCUCCAGCAACUGCAACGUUUGCGGUAAACCUUGCCGAAAAACAUUGAUCAACCGAGCUUUGCCAAACUCGGUAAAGGAGUAUUUCGUGAAUCACGCUGAUCAGUUGACAAAAAUCGCCAAAAUUUAUCGGUUUCAAAUCGGAAAAAUGGAUCGAUUCCUCUCAGCGAACGUUGAUGCUAUUGGAACGGAAUUAAACAGGAGCAACGAUUAAUUGAACAGCUGAAGCAAAAGGCUGCUUUGCAAACACCACCAUCGAAAGCGCCUUGCGAGCCGCUCCAAACUAAACUCCCAGUCCCAAGAGAGGAUUUUUUCCGAAAAUCAACCGACGUCUGUCUGUAGGGUUUGCGUUUUAAUGGAUGUAUCAAUUAAAUAAAAUAGGCGUUUUUAGCAAACGAG